UGGUUCUGGCAUNGAUGAAGAACGCAGCGAAAUGCGAUAAGUAAUGUGAAUUGCAGAAUUCAGUGAAUCAUCGAAUCUUUGAACGCAUAUUGCGCCCUUUGGCAUUCCGAAGGGCAUACCUGUUCGAGCGUCAUUACACCCCUCAGAGAUACCUCUGACGUUGGGCAAUGCCUGGAGAGGCAUGCCUCAAAAUCAGCGAUGGUGAUAUUCAACUACAGACGCACAAAUGUCGUCUAGCUGGUGGAAUGUUGUCAGUUCAAUUGAUGAAUAUCUAAAUGUUGACCUCGGAUCAGGUAGGAAUACCCGCUGA
rnacentral:misc_RNA from 1 species